rnacentral:SRP_RNA from 1 species
CCGCAAGCCGGCACGACCAGCUCCUGCUGAACUCCCCCAGGACCGGAAGGUAGCAAGGGUAGGCGGUUGUAGCGGUGCGAUGUUGGCUUGUAUUUU